CUUUUGGAAUCUACUCCAGAGACAGAGGGAAGGAAUCUCCGACCCAAUCUGAGAUGAGUUUCCAUCUAUGAUUUCUUAUAAAAUAGGAAGUCAUUAUAGAAAACUCUUAAGUAAAGAGUUUGGGCUUGAAAAAAACAAGCCAUUUAGACAAUGGUAUGGGAAGACAUUUUCCCAAAAAGAAACAGAGUUCUAUAAAAAGAAAUUCUAUAAAGAACUCCAAAGAAACCAGGAUAUCCAAUUUUUUAUCCCUUGGUUUUUGAAUAUAUUUCUUGAAUGAACAAGAAAAGAAAUUGACUGUUAUACAAAGAUCUUGGAUAACAGUUCAAGAUGAGGUAAUAAAAGCCCCAUUUCCACCUCAACAGCCGAUUAAAUUAGAAUCGACUGAAGCUAAUGCUUAUCUAGGAUUAAAUAAAUCAGUCCUAGAACACAUAAGGGUAAAAGAACUUAAUGAAUUAAUUAAGUCCCAAAACUACACAAAUGUGUACCUAGUUUGUCUUGGAAGCCAGUUAUUAGAACUGGAAAACAAAAUUGAAAAAAUGACAAACAAAUUUAAGAGAG
rnacentral:lncRNA from 1 species